UGAGGAAUAAUUGCCCAAUGGGGGAAACCCUGAGGCAGCGACGCCGCGUGGGUGAUGAAGGCCUUCGGGUCGUAAAACCCUUUUCUGUGUGACGAGCAAGGACGGUAGCACAGGAAUAAGUCUCGGCUAACUACGUGCCAGCAGCCGCGGUAAAACGUAGGAGGCAAGCGUUAUCCGGAGUUACUGGGCGUAAAGCGCAUGUAGGCGGUUUUUCAAGUGGCGUGUGAAAGCUCCCGGCUAAACUGGGAGAGGACACGUCAGACUGAGAGGCUAGAGGACGUUAGAGGGGCGCAGAAUUCGGGGUGUAGCGGUGAAAUGUGUAGAGAUCCCGAGGAAUACCAGUGGUGAAGACGGCGCCCUGGGACGUUACUGACGCUGAGAUGCGAAAGCGUGGGGAGCGAACGGGAUUAGAGACCCCGGUAGUCCACGCCGUAAACGAUGCGAACUAGGUGCCCACUUCCUUCGGGAAGGGGGUGCCGAAGCCAACGCGC
rnacentral:rRNA from 1 species